CUUGAGAGGCAGAAGGCUCCUCAUGGCUCCUUAUCACAUCAGACAGUUCCAGGACAGGGACCACAGAAGGGUCCUGGACUUGUUCUCCAGAGGCAUGGAGGAGCAUGUCCCUGCUGCCUUCUACCAUGUGCUGACACUGCCUCAUUCUCUCCUGCUCUUUCCUGGGGUGCCCGUGACCUUAGUCCUAGUGUCUGGUUCUUGGCUCCUGGCCACAGUGUACAGUUUCCUCUUUCUCCUUUGCCUGUGGCUCCUUAUCUGGUUAUCAUGGAGAAAUUAUGUGGCUAUGUGUUUGAAAUCAGACCUGGCUGACAUCACCAAGUCUUACCUGAAUGCACAUGGCUCCUUCUGGGUGGCUGAGUCUGGGGGCCAGGUGGUGGGCAUAGUGGGUGCUCUGCCAGUCAAGGAUCCUCCAUCAGGGAGGAAGCAGCUGCAGCUCUUUCGCCUGUCUGUGUCCUCACAGAAUCGAGGACAGGGAUAGCAAAGCACUGGUCAGAACUGUGCUCCAGUUUGCACGGGAUCAAGGAUACAGUGAUGUUGUCCUACAGACCAGCAGUGUGCAGUACAGCGCUAUGUCUCUGUACCAGGGCAUGGGUUUCCAGAAGACAGGCCAGCACUUUAUGAGCAUAACCACGAGGUUAAUUGGUCUUUCUAUCCUUCAUUUCACCUACUCUCUCCCUUCUGUCUGGGAACCAAGGAUGUGAUCUUUUUUCCUUUGUCUAGAGGGCUCCAGUUCACUCUGCUUUAGGAACAAGCCAACCCUGGCAGUUCAUUUACCAAGACCAAGGCUCCCUUUCCAUCCCUUUCAGAUGCAGCAGUGCUGGUGGUGACCUCUGGGUGUUGGCCUCCUGCUCCAUUCUGCCUUUUUAAGGGUCUCUGUUUCAUCUUUCUAGUGCUGUGAUAAGAGAGCACGAAACCCAGCCGAGUGGACCCUGCACACAUUCACUAGGAGUCCGUUAGCUAUCAGCAACCUUGGCGAGCUGAAGUUCCAGCUCAGACAGGAUUCAGGAUCUUUGCAGGCAAGAUAAGUGAACUCAAAACAAAGGCUUUCCUCACACACACGGAACGUGUGGGUUAUUGAAAAUUCUACGACUCAUGUAGAAAUGGAGUCUCCAUGGUAGAGGUGCACCACAGUCAUAGAUGGGUCAGGGUGGGCGCCCUCGAGAGCUAGAGCAAGGAAGUGUGUAACUUACUCCUAAGUCACCCUUGUGCAGAGGCAGGAAAGGGACCUCUGAUGCAGAGGGAAUAGCUUUGAACAGCCUCUCCUGGGUGCUUAUUUGGUCCCAGUCUCAUGAGAAAGCCCAACCUAAUGCAUGCAGAGCAUGAAAUCUUCUUGGAGAUCCAGGGAAAGGACAUGGGAUCCAGAAUUAUCAUCCAAAUGUCACCCUAGAGAAAAACCCCAGGACGAAUUGGCAUUUCCUUGGGUUUGAGAGCAAUGGUUUCCAGUGCUCCUGGUUAUCUUCUGUAAAAUGUUAAAAUGGCUGUUCAGGUGUUAGAACGGCACUGUAGAGUGGAGAAACGCAGUCUCUGAACUAAUGAGGUUGUUGGGUGAAGAUUACCGUGCUAGGCACAGGCAGCCUUCAUGAAUUUUUGGAAAAGACCCUGAAGGCCAAUGAAUCGCACAAGUGUUGCCACUGCUUUUGGUUGCAUGCAGGAACUGGAGAACUCCUGUGUGAGGACAUCACAUUGUUUGGUUUUAGAACAUGGAGGAGUCAAGCAGAGGCUAGGCUGAAAGAGCCUUGUGUGCUGGUGCCAAGAGGCUCAGGGCCUGAGGGAGAUUUGUUGCAGCCUGUGUGCUGUGUUGUUACACGCAAGACUAGUCGUAGUGCCAUAGUGGAAUUGUAAUAUUUGAGCACAGAUACUUUAUGUUUGAGACCUCCGCUGGUUAGCAUUCCCAUUCGUUAUUCUAAGCCAGGACACAAUUCCGUGGGCAUGGAGGCCAUAGGCCAUAGUAAGUAGACUACUACUAGUAUUGUUUUAUUUUUUAUUAAACAGGUAUAGUGUGUGCUCUUGCCUUCAAAACAUUUGUUUUUAUGCCCUAUGACUGCGGUGCCAGCCUCAGUGGUAAAGGGAGCUUUCACAGUGGGUGGUAGUUACUCCAGAGACUCAGACCUUGUCCAAUUGCUGAGGAUCAGCGAGUGAUCUGUGAUAGAGCCUGAUGUUGGGCUGUAAAUGAAAAUAGAUGUGUACAUGUAUCACUUGCUCCAAGCCUUAGAAGAGGUAUGGAAGGGGAUGCCUUACAGAUAUAAGAUCUGGAGUGGGUGUAGUCUCCUGUAUGUGUUUGGUCUGAACUGAAGCAUCUUCUUGUUGAGGCUCAGCAGACCCAGGAGAGGGCCCCUCUCUAAAGUCACCCAGGCAGAGAGAAGCCUGUUAGGAACCCCAGUGUUGUAGAUUGUGUGAGGCAUUACCUCUGCAAUGGUAAUACUGCCUGCACGACCCAUGCCCCCAUCAGUAAUCCCUCAUCUGAGUCCCUGUAGCUCCAAUAAAAUGUUUCAUCCACCUUGA